GUCUUACAUUGGCAGGAUCCACCUGGGAUUAGCAACUGUCAGAAAAGGCCAUCCAGUGUUUGAUUCAAAAUAAAAUUUACCACAGUUGGGGGAAGUAGAAUGAAAUAAACAAGCCACAAAAAAUGAAAAAGUCAUAAGCAACAGAGAGAAAUCGAUAAACAAUCUCAUACAAUAAAGAAAAUCCACUCUAGUUAUGAAAUAUGAGGGACAGCUGCCUUGCUUCUUUUGUAAAUAACUGCUAUAAGAAUAGGCAUAAGGAGAAAGACUAUAUACAGUGUGACAGCUGUAAUGGCUGUAAUUGCCAGUAAUUUGAUUUAGCAGCCAUAAUGUCCUGCUACACCAUGAUUCCCAAAUAACCAUUCUGAAAUAGCCCAAAAAAUAAUGGUAUACUGAAAACCUAAGAUAUA
rnacentral:misc_RNA from 1 species